rnacentral:lncRNA from 1 species
CCGCCAUCUUAGUUGAAGUUUAUUGAGGACGGUACAACAAUGUCAUUGUGCAGCAACAAAUGGAACAGUAUCAUCGAUCUGACCUCGGUUGCGCAAGGGCGAAUAUGAGACACAAGAAUUCCGGCAGAUGCAAACAGAAGUGAUGGAUUUAUUGAGGAUUACAUCAAAAAAUCCAGGAGCUGUGAAUCAGUAAACAAAAAAUGGAUAAAGUCGAAACCAAAGAAGAAGCUUCUGAAAUAAUCUCGAAAAGUGUACGCGUUUUCUGAAAGAAAUUAAUAAAGAGUGUUGAUUACA